rnacentral:misc_RNA from 1 species
AACGCACAUUGCGCCCUUUGGUAUUCCUUAGGGCAUGCCUGUUCGAGCGUCACUAAAAACCCCCUCACAGAUAAUGUGGUAUUGGUAGAAGUUGAUAGUACUAACACUACUUUGUCUGACUCUACUGAAAUUCAUAGGCCAGAGAAGUGGACUAUGGUAAUAGACUCCAGGAGUGUUUUAAAACGCUAAAUUAGUCUUCUCCAAGUCAUGUUCUGAGCCAUUGGACCCCCCAUUUAGUCCAAACAAGAGAGGUUGACCUCGGAUCAGGUAGGGAUACCCGCUGAACUUAA